rnacentral:sRNA from 1 species
CCUCGUCGAUCUGCUGCGGGCAGAUGAAGUGGAUAUGGCUGUCGAUGCCGCCCGCGGUGACGAUCAUGCCCUCCGCCGCGAUCACCUCGGUGCCGGGCCCGACCACGAUGGUGACGCCCGGCUGGAUGUCGGGAUUGCCGGCCUUGCCGAUCGCGGCGAUGCGCCCGUGCUUGAGUCCGAUAUCGGCCUUGACGAUGCCCCAGUGGUCGACGAUCAGCGCAUUGGUGAGCACGGUGUCGACGCAGUCCUGCGCCAUGCGCUGGCUCUGCCCCAUGCCGUCGCGGAUG